AGGUGAGCCGGGACAGCCUUCUUCCUCCGCCCAGCCGCCACAGUGAUUGUCGUCAAGUCUGCCACAGGAGGAUAUUUUAUUCUGGGUUAACCUGCUUUUCUACUUCGCAGGUUGUUUAUCAAUAUUUGUGUAAUUUUAUUUACUCCUAGAAUUUUCGCAUGUGUUAGCAGUAAUUAUUUGAAUUUGGUCUGUAAUAUUAUUAUCAUGUUGGACCUGUAAACCUAAUAUUCUAUGCCUGUUUGAUGGAUUGGAUGAGGGAGCUGAGCUCCCAUUUCUUUUAUGAUGCUAUGAGUAUGUGGAGGGUGAGCUGAGCUCCCCAAUUGAGUAUUAUUAUGUUUACAGGUCGGGUGAGUCGAAAACUCCCCGUUGGGAA